UCAGACUUCUGUGAGGCAAGUUAAGGACAUAGGAUUUGCAUAGAAUGAGACUGACAAGGCCAUGAAGCAUCUAAUCAGCUUGUCAGCUGCAUCCUGCAGGUUCAACAAGUUCAGAAACACUGGUGAAAAGGCAAGAUAAGAGGCUCUGUAAUCUGCAGUGAACCAUGCACUGAAUUUCUGCCUCUGCAGUAUGAGACUGAGAGGAAGAAUGCAUGGAGUGAUACCCCAGAUGCAGUGUGGGAGUGUUUGCUGAGCUACACCAGACUACACCAGAAAGAGAGGAAAAUUCUCUUUACACUGGAUAACUUAAAACUGCACUGAUUCCAAGAAACUGCAUUGACUCCAAGAACUGAUGAAGGAACUUGACAAGUAUCAUGUAAACGUCUCCUGGCACAGAGAUAUGACUUGGCCUAAGAGAUACCCUUCAUGACUGUUGUCUAAUACCAACAUGUUUUAAAUGGCAGCCUUAUGUCUAGCAUUGCUUUUGGCCUUUCUCCUCCUCACAUCCUCAUAGCCUUAGCAAUGUCUAGCUGUGGGUAUUCCUCCAACCCCAUAUCAUCCACUCUUUAAAUUGAAUUGGAAGAUUUGGACGCUUUUCUUUCAUUAAAAUGUAAAACAAACAAAAGAAAAAAAUUGAAACAACAACAACAAAACAAACAAACAAACAAAAAAACCAACCCACAAACAAAACCAAAACAAAACAGAACACAGGUUGAACUAUGACAGCACACACGUCAGUGCAACCCAGGCUCAGGUCUUUCUGGCAGAUACCUGGCAAGGAGUGCGCAAGUAUGACAAUGGUGCAGUGGUAUUCUGCUGUAACACCAUCCUGCCCUUGUGCUGUGCUCUGUAAGGGAUGUAGGCUUUGUGACUGCUUGGCUCAGUGCACAGACAGUGUUUCAUGAUCUUGAAAGUUUUACCAAAUUAACAAUCUUUACUGAAGCAUAGAUGUAGCGGAGCCUCAUCCAACACUAUGAAUAGGAUAAACAUGCUGGGUUACAUUCAUUUUGCACUUCAUAUUUGUAUAUAAAUCUAAAAUAACUCUGUAAAAACAUGAAAAGUAAGUUUGCACAGUGAAGGCAAAAGGAUGCACUGGUCAGGAUGCGCUCACUUUUUAGGCUUUCAGAUGAGGUAUCUUAAAUAGGAGCUUAAUUCCUCCAGGUGCUCUUCUCAAAGGAAAUACAGAUGUCUUCCACAUAAAGGAUCAGCUUUGUAUAGAAAAGGUCACCGAAGUUACUCCAAUUAUGUUUUCUAAGAAUUAUGGUUUAUCUGUCAUUUGCUACAAAUUGUCUCAUUGUCUUCCUGCCUCUGAACACCUCAACUGCUGAAUUUCUUAAAAAAAUAAAUAAAUAAAAUGAAAU
rnacentral:lncRNA from 7 species